AAUAUAAUUGUCUUUUACCCUUCAUUAAAAAUGAGGAAAAAAAUGAUUAUUGUAAACAUGAAAAGUGGUACUAUGAAUGUGCUAUUUGUGGCAAUUUCCCUUAUUAGAAUUCUAAACUCUACAUUCCAAAAACACUACUCCACCCCCAACUCUAAACCCUAAAUUUAGAUUAUUAAUUAUAUGAUUAUAAAUGUUUUUUUUUUCUUUAAAAUUGAGAGUAAAAGUGGUUAAAGCAAACACAAAAAGUGGUAUUAUGAAUGUGAUAUUUUUAGCAAUUUUUCAUGAAAUUACAAAAAAUUUAACAAUUUAGGAUUUUAGUGUUUUUUGUAGUUAAUCAAAUUACGCUAGUACGUGACAUCAUCAUCUAGUAUAAAUAGUAAAAAAUAUCAAUAGCAAGAUGAAUUGACGAGAUAAUGGCUCUGGAUGAGAAAAGCGGCAAACAAAAUAAGAUUGUAUCAACCGGGUCUAUUGGUAUAAGUGUGGAUCAAGUGGAUUUAGCGGUCAAAUAAAUAUGUUUGAAUGAAAAAAAUGAAACAAAAAGGAUCCAAAAUACUAUAUAAAUUUAAAAAUAAUAUAUAUAUAUAUAUAUAUAUAUAUCUUUAUAUAUAUAUCUUUAUAUAUAUAUAUUCAAUAUCAUUAAAUAUUUUUCAUAAAUAAUAGUAGCUUUUGUAGAAAAUAUUUUAUAAAUGCAACAAAUAUAAAAUUUUAUUUAAAAUAUUUGGGUACCUUUCAAAUUUUGUUUAGAUCUAUUCGAGUUUCUGUAUUUGGAGCUAAAUAAUUAAAUUUUAUACGAGUAUUUAUAAUUUUUUUUAUAGGUUUGGUUCAGUUCAUAUACCAUUUAAAUUAUGUAAGGGUUUUAAAAAUUCAAAUAUACCUUAAAAUCACCGUCGACAAAAAAAAAACCUUAAAAUAUUCAAAAAUCUAGAUCAAUGACAUGAUUUGGUAUGAGUUCCGUUCAGAUCACAUGACAUGAAAUGCAUGAAUCAGGUUAGACGUGAUGAUAAGAAUUUCAUGACUUGACCUGGUCUUCUAAACACUUUCUAUCUAUUUGGCUCUAUAUUCUAGAAACUUUAUCUCAUUGAUUUGUUUAGUGUUUUUUUUUCUUUGGACAAAGUUUAACAUCAUUUUUUUGCUGACUCUUAUUAAUAUACAAAAGUAAAGGAAAUUGCCACAAAUAUCAUAUUUAUAAUCCUAGUUUUUAUGUUUACACUAAUCGCUUUUACUUUCAUUUUUCGAAAGAGAAAUUUAGGAUUCUAAUAAAUGUAUAAAUAGAUACUUCAAAAAAAUAAAAAUAGUUUCAAACAUACUUUUCAAAAAAAAAAGUGAAAAAAAUUUAGAAAAAUUUCGAAUUUGAAAAAAUAUAAUUUGAAAACACAAAAAUUAUUAUUUUUUAUUUAUUAAAUAAUUAUAUAUAUAUAUAUAUAGAACAAAAGUAUAUGAGUCUUUUGUCACUUAAUGAAAAAUGUAUUUUGAAAAUAUCCCUUUAUUGGUGGUAAAGAUGAAAUUUCCCCAAAAUUAAAAGAUUCUUAUUAAAAAAAAGAAUUCUUCAUCAUACAGUGUUCAUGUAAUUAUUUUCCCAUAAUAAUAACAUUCUUCUAGAAUAAUAUCAACUAAAAUUUUAAUCUGCGCUGAGCGCCUAAGUUUUUUUUAUUUUUAUUUUAAAUAUGAUUAACCAAUUUAUAAAUCUUAAUUAAAAAUAUUAACUUUAAGAUAAUUCAAUCAUGACAAUUAUAAACAUUUUUCUUUAAAUCUCUAUAUAUAAAGGAGUGUUAUAUUCACUCCUGAAGUUGCCACAUAGGAUUCCAAGUCACAAAAUCGAAGUUUCUGGAAGCGACACAUGUCUCGUUCUGCAAAGUGCAGCGUUUCAUUUAAAUUCUUCUGUCAUGGGCUUCUUUUGCGUUUGUGUGGUUGGGAUCUGAAACUGGAAGGUGUAUCCGGCCCGGUUAGAUUGAUUCCACGCUCCAAACCUAAUUUUUUGAUCGAAUAAACGAAGAUCGUCUCUCUUCUUCGUGUUACGGCGACGAGUUGACGUUUGCACUUCUCCCUACGAUAUGAAACGGUCCGAGUUAUGGCUUCGUGUUUACUCCCAAUGAUUGAAUCCCCCACUAUGUCGUCUUCAAUGCUUUGUUUCGAUCUGUAAGGCGGUGUCUCUAAUCCUAUAAAAGGUAAACCUUACUUUCCGUAGAACAUCAUCAUCUUUACUCUUGAUUUCACAUACAUUUGUUGCUUUUGUUUUUGUUUGUAUUUGUUCGUGUUUUGCAGUCGCCAUUUCCUUCUUCGCCUUCGCCGUCAAUCAUCGUCACUCCUCUAACCGAUGAGCAGUAAGGGUUUCUUCAAUUGGUUCAAAGUAUAUGGCUGCUUCAGUUUCAACCAGACUUAUUUGCACUGUUUGAUCCUUUUCAGCUUUACGACGCAUCAUCACUAAUGCAUCUGAAAAUUGUUUAAGCUCUCCUCCAUGUCAUCAAAAGUUUGGUUUUUAGAUCAUGAAGAUCUCUUCAUGUCACUUCCAUUGCAUACAACUAAGAUCAACUUUCAUCCCGAUUGCAGAGAGUUUGGAAUCACAGUGACUCUAAAGCCUCACCAAGUUGAAGGAGUCUCUUCGCUUAUAUACAAAUAUCUACUCAGCGUCAAUGUCCUUCUCGAUUGAGCAGAUGGGGUUGGGGAAAACUCUACAAGCUAUUUAUUUUUUGAGUUAUCUAAAGUUUCAUCAAGGAUUGCGAAGGCCAUUUUGUGAGUCAAAUGAGAUCUGCUUCUUAAAGACAAGUUCUUGAUGUUGUGUCUUUAUUUUUGGCAGUUGUGCUUUGUCCUUUGAGCGUAACGGAUGGUUGGGUUGAAGAGACAAAAGGUUCACUCCAGAACAUGAAGUUCUUAGGAAUCUUUGUUACUAUUUAAUGUGUUGUUUACAACGUAUGCUAUAGCAUUGAUGGAUCAAGACUUCCUUUCUCAGAUUCGGUGGCAGUAUGCUGUAAUUGAUGAAGCUCAAAUACUCAAGAAUCCCAACAGUGUUGUCUCAUUAGGAAUGUUCAUCGAGUUUUGAACUGAAUGAUAUCAAAAUCUGUCCAUUACAAACUUGCUUUAGUCAUUUAAUAGCUGGGCUAGCAUUCAUUUGAUCCAGUGAGAAUCAAAACCCAUUUUGUAAAGGAGAGCCUCAAUGAAAUUCCACUCUAUCCGAUCAUAAGCCUUGCUCAUAUCUGUUUUAAUUGCCAUAAAAUUAUUCUGACAAGACUUAUUGGCUCUCAAACCAUGAAACAUUUCCUGUGCAAUAAGAAUAUUAUCCGAAAUUAGCCUUCCUGCCACAAAAGCCGAUUGUGUUUCUGAAAUUAACCUGGGAAGACAACUUUUCAAUCUUUGACACAAAACUUUCGAUAUGAUCUUGUAGCCAACAUUACAAAGACUUAUCGGCCUUAGUUCCGUCAUCCUUGUCGCCCUCUCCACUUUUGGUAUCAUACAAAUAUUAGUUAAAUAUCAUGUUUAUCACCACUAAAUAAACAUUUUCGAAAAUAUAUUCUUCAUUAAAAAGCAAUAGACUUUUAUACCCUUGCUCAAUAUAUUUUUUUCCAAUAAUUAUCUAAAUAAAUAAUAAAAAUUUUAAAAAUAAAAGUGUUUUUUUUUUCAUGUUUUCGAAUUAUAAUUUUUCAAAUUCAAACUUUUUAAAUUUUUUUUUUUGAUUUUUCAA